UACGGAGGGGCUAGCGUUGUUCGGAAUUACUGGGCGUAAAGCGCACGUAGGCGGCUUUGUAAGUUAGAGGUGAAAGCCCGGAGCUCAACUCCGGAAAUUGCCUUUAAGACUGCAUCGCUAGAAUUGUGGAGAGGUAAGUGGAAUUCCGAGUGUAGAGGUGAAAUUCGUAGAUAUUCGGAAGAACACCAGUGGCGAAGGCGACUUACUGGACACAUAUU
rnacentral:rRNA from 1 species